rnacentral:tRNA from 1 species
GCUUUCAUAGCUUAGUUGGUUAGAGCGCCCGCUUAAUUAGCGGAGGUCUUGAGUUUGACUCUCUAUAAAAAUA